rnacentral:rRNA from 1 species
UACGUAGGGCGCGAGCGUUGUCCGGAAUUAUUGGGCGUAAAGAGCUCGUAGGCGGCUCGUCGCGUCGACCGUGAAAACCCGCGGCUUAACCGCGGGCUUGCGGUUGAUACGGGCGGGCUAGAGUUCGGUAGGGGAGACUGGAAUUCCUGGUGUAGCGGUGAAAUGCGCAGAUAUCGAGGAGGAACGACCGGUGGCGAAGGCGGGUCUCUGGGCCGAUACUGACGCUGAGGAGCGAAAGCGUGGGGAGCAAACAGG